CAUCUUGGUAAUGGAGAUGGAUGGGAUCCAGUACUCGAUGGGAACUCUUCUGUUUCAGUGGAGAGUCGUUUGAGGUGGACUAUUACUAUCAGUUGGCAAAGGGCAGAGAGAUCCCUCUGUAAUUUCCGGAAAUGAACGAGAUCCCUGUCUUCCCAGGUAUAUUGCAAAAUAGGUGUGAAAAGGCAUCUUAGUUUAUUGGCGUUUAUACAUAAGGGCAGUGCAGUUGGAGGCUGAUUAGCAGGAACGUCCUCUGAAGAUUUGGCACUUCAUGUGAGGGGCUGUUGCUGGCUUCGUCCUGGGUGCAGUCAGCAGAGAGUUCGCUGAUGGAUCCCUACAAUGGAAAGCUGAGAAAAGGAGAGAUUUUCUGUCACUGCACGAAGCGGCACAAUGGGAUGGUGAGAUGCAAGAGAGAGACUGCUCAGACCAUCAAAUCAAACAGAAAAUGUGUUUGCAAAAAGAAAGGAAAGUACCACCGGCUGAAGCAAUGUUUCCGCAUCUUUUCCCCGGACGUCCUCAGCUGAGGGACAAGCCAGGAAUGAGGAGGAUUGGACGAUCCAAGCCUCCUGCAACCACCGCCUCCCCGCCCCCCCACCCCCGGCCCUUUCACCGAAGCCCACGCCAAUGCUCUUUGCUUAAGGAAUGUGAUCGCCCUGCACAGCCUCGCCCUCAGCCUUUGCUCCACGGCCAAUUCCUUGAUCAUUAUUUCAAUCCAUCAUUCCCUGCUCUUUUGAUAGAACAAGCAAGGAUUGUCUGCAAAGGAAACUGUUAAACACAGCUGGGAGCAAGGAACUCAGCGCUACGAGCAGCAUCUGUGGAGGAAGAGUUGUCGAAACCCUGCCUCACAAUUAAAUACCAAGUUCCUGCCACCUCCCACUAAAUCAGCCCGCUCUCACCUGCCGCCAGCUGUGUUGGAUCCAUCUGAUUGCUCUGGGCAGCUGCUCACCUUUUAUCUGAACCACGGCAGGUAACAGGACUACCUACCUCCCACAGUGCACAAGGCUGGCCAGUGGUUGCUUUAUUCGUUUUUCAGAAAACGACAAAGCUGCAGCUGUUGGUAAUCUGGACUGUAAACACAUGCUGAAAAUGCUCAGCAGGUCGGGCAGCGCCUGUGGAGACAGACACAGUUACCAUUCCAGCUGCAUGACCUUUCAUCAGAACCAGGUCAAAAAUUAACCCUGUUUCUCCCUGUACGGCUGCUGUCUGACCUGCUGAGUAUUUCUGUUUUUUUUAAAAAAUAUAUUUCUUAAUUUCAAUCUUGCUUUUUACCAAUUUUGUUGAGAUCUAA